UUCACCGUAUGGAAGUGCUUCUUAACAUCAGUGAAUUAUUGUAAUGUGAUGUAGCCUAAUGUUGUCUGUCAUAUUGUACACCACGGGGUCGCCAACUGGCCUGCUUUGCCUGGCCUGUCAGAUCAUUUUGACUUUUUGCUUUCUGUCAACUUAUUCAGCAUAUUAACAAGAUUAGAUUUGAGUAUUCAUCUCCUGUUCCGCCUGCAUUGUCUACUCGCUCAGGCUCAUCCCCCCUGCUGACCUCUGUUGUACAGUCUUGAUGUAACCCUUAACUCUAUGUACAUCUUCUGUUUGUCAUAGGAUCAUGUCAGCUGAACUCAAUUAAUGAAACCAGGAAUGAAUGCCAUCACCCAUCUUGUGAGCUGUUGAGGGAGAACAACGACAGGCUGCAGAGGGAAGAUGAUUCUCUCAAGGCAAAAAUAGCAACAUUGAAAUGUAAUGUUAUUGUUGAAAACUUUGUUUUUUUUUUACACAAGGGUUUUUCUGUUUUACAUGUUAGCUAAAAGGCUAUUAUGAAUCCUUUGCUCAGUGCUGCCAGACGUUUUGCAGAAGAUGAAGGAGUUUCUUCGCUCAGCACCAAGACCAACGACAACACCAAUACCAAUACCAACACCAACACCAAGACCAAGACCAGAACCAACACUAUCACCAGCACCAACAGCAGUUCCACCACCAGCAACAGAAGACCCAUCACCAGCACCAGGUCCAUCAUCAGCAUCAGCAACAGAGGCCCUGGGCCACUCUGUAAGAAUCUGUUUGACUUUAUUUGUAUAGGUUAAGUUACUUAGUUUCAGUUGCACUGUUUUUCUAAAUGCAUCAGCCGUACACUCGGUUAAUCUAAAUGCAUAUAUAUAUCAUUGAGGUAAGACGCUAGUCUGCUGUAUGUUGAAGUAGAUUUGUGGUAAUGUUAUCUACUUGCAUUAAAGGUCAUUCCAAAAGGAUUUGUGGAGCGCUGCUCCUUCCAAAGCCCCCAGAAGUUCAUAAAUGAUCUCCUACAUGGGAUGUAUACCAGGGAAUAUAUGGCAGGCCAUUCAGUGACUGGCCAGUCAUCCAGCAGCUGCACAGAAGGAAAACCUGGCCUAGCCAAACAGGACCUUGUUGAAAUAACAAAUGCUGCAAAGUUGAAGUUCACCUACGUAACUGAUACGAACAUAAAAGCAUUUAUACGACAAAAGCUAAACAAUGCUGCCAAAUUUCAGAAACAAUAAAUUAUCAACUCUUUAAAGAAAGUUAAACUUUUGUUCUAUUUUUUUUGUAUUUUAGCAGUCUGUAGAAAACACUGUGUUAAUGGUGGUUGUAAGCCUAAUUUAUGUGCAGUGAAUUAUUGUUACAGCACUAUGGUUAAAAAUGGCAACAACAAAAAGUGAUACAGUUGAAAAUAUCCAUUAGGUAAAGUACAAUGACAUAGUUAAAGGAACAACAAAAUACUGCAUAAUGCAGUUAUUGUAAUGCAGUAUAUAUAGU